rnacentral:lncRNA from 1 species
AACACAUUCAAAGCUUCGAAAUUAGAAAGUACAAAUUUUGUACCAAAAAAUGUCUUGAUUUUGUUGAAAUCUUUUGUAAAGUUUAAAAAAUGAGUGGACGGGAUGAUACUGGUGAACAAGUGAUCCUAGCUACGGCAGGAUAUGAUCAUAGCAUUAGAUUUUGGCAAGCUCACAAUGGAGUAUGUCAUAGGACCGUGCCACACACUGAUUCUAUAUCCUUUUCAAUCUGAAACUGUACUAUUAUAGAAUCUGAUCAAGGUUUACGAUAUAUUUAUGAUGAUUAUAUAUUUUUAAGUAGACUUCAAAUAAGUGAAGUACUUUCCUAUGAUCAUUAGUGUAGUAUGGUAAGGUAUGGUAUGGAUCAGUGUGGUAUGGUGUUGUAGUAUUUGUGGUGUAUUUUGUGGUACAGUGACCUAUGGCAUAGUGUGGUGUACAGUCAUUAAAAUGAAUAUGACUGGGAUGCUACCUUCAAAUAAACUGCCUAUCUUUUUCCUGAAGCCAAAUCUGAGAUCUGACCCAUAGACAAGCAUAUAUCUGGGGUAGCGUUCCAGUUCUAUUCAUUUCAAUGGGUAUAGUGUACUAUGAUAUGGUUUGUGGUUUUCUGGAGGUUUUAUACAGCCACGAGCAUUAAAGGCUUGGACUGCACUUUCCAAUUAAUUUGCCGUUGACAUACCUUAACGAUAAUUCACCAAGUUAACGACAUGGCAAUCACCCCCGACAGACAUUUAUUAGCCGCAGCAGGUAAUAUGUACAUGCUUCUGACAUCCAUAAAUUGACUUUUCCUAUAAAAUUUCGUGAUAAUUAUAAACUAUGCUUUAUUUUACACAGGAUAUCAACAUAUUAAAAUGUACGACAUUAAAUCAAAUAAUGCAAACCCUGUAAGUACCUUUCAAAAUGAUAUAUUAAAUUAAUUGGGCUACUGCAAUUUACAGGUAGGGUUAAAUCAGCUAUUUGUGAAACCCAAUUAACAUCUGCACAAACAGCAAAACAAGCAUAUAAAAUUUUAAAAUUGCUCAAUUUAAGAUUGUAAAUUAUGAUGGCAUAUCAAAGAACAUCACAUCAGUGGGUUUUCACGAGGACGGAAAAUGGAUGUUCACAGGUGGUGAGGAUAGCUCGGCAAGGAUCUGGGAUCUCCGGUCAAGAAACUUGCAAUGUCAGCGUGUUUAUCAAGUGAAAGCUGCC